rnacentral:rRNA from 1 species
GUUUGAUCCNGGCUCAGGAUGAACGCUAGCGGCAGGCUUAACACAUGCAAGUCGAGGGGCAGCACGAGUAGCAAUACUUGGUGGCGACCGGCGCACGGGUGCGUAACGCGUAUGCAACCUACCCUAUAUUGGUGAAUAACCCGGAGAAAUUCGGACUAAUACGCCGUAAGUAAUUUUAAGGCAUCUUAGAAUUAUGAUAGAUUUAUUGUUAUAGGAUGGGCAUGCGUGAUAUUAGUUAGAUGGUAGGGUAACGGCCUACCAUGACUAUGAUAUCUAGGGGUUCUGAGAGGAAGGUCCCCCACACUGGUACUGAGACACGGACCAGACUCCUACGGGAGGCAGCAGUGAGGAAUAUUGGUCAAUGGGCGGAAGCCUGAACCAGCCAUGCCGCGUGCAGGAAGACGGCUCUAUGAGUUGUAAACUGCUUUUGUACGAGGGUAAUAUCAUCCACGUGUGGGUGAUUGAAAGUAUCGUACGAAUAAGGAUCGGCUAACUCCGUGCCAGCAGCCGCGGUAAUACGGAGGAUCCGAGCGUUAUCCGGAUUUAUUGGGUUUAAAGGGUGCGUAGGCGGAUUGGUAAGUUAGAGGUGAAAUUCCAUUGCUCAACGAUGGACUUGCCUCUGAUACUGUCAGUCUAGAGUGUAAUUGAAGGAGGCGGAAUGUGUGGUGUAGCGGUGAAAUGCUUAGAGAUCACACAGAACACCGAUUGCGAAGGCAGCUUUCUAAGUUAUAACUGACGCUGAUGCACGAAAGCGUAGGGAUCAAGCAGGAUUAGAUACCCUGGUAGUCCACGCCGUAAACGAUGAUAACUCGUUGCUGGCGAUACACAGUCAGUGACCAAGGGAAACCGAUAAGUUAUCCACCUGGGGAGUACGUUCGCAAGAAUGAAACCCAAAGGAAUUGACGGGGGCCCGCACAGGCGGAGGAACAUGUGGUUUAAUUCGAUGAUACGCGAGGAACCUUACCCGGGCUUGAAAGUUAUUGACCGCUGGUGAAGGCCGGCUUUCCUUCGGGACAAGAAACUAGGUGCUGCAUGGUUGUCGUCAGCUCGUGCCGUGAGGUGUCGGGUUAAGUCCCAUAACGAGCGCAACCCCUAUCGUUAGUUGCUAGCAGGUAAUGCUGAGGACUCUAGCGAGACUGCCGGUGUAAACCGAGAGGAAGGUGGGGAUGACGUCAAAUCAGCACGGCCCUUACGUCCGGGGCGACACACGUGUUACAAUGGAUGGUACAGAGAGCAGCGACAUGGCGACAUGAAGCGAAUCUCAAAAAGCCAUUCUCAGUUCGGAUUGCAGGCUGAAACUCGCCUGCAUGAAGUUGGAUUCGCUAGUAAUCGCAUAUCACCAUGAUGCGGUGAAUGCGUUCCCGGCCUUGUACAUACCGCCCGUCAAGCCAUGGAAGUUUGGGGUGCCUGAAGUGCGUGAGCGAAAGCAGCGUCCUAGGGCAAAACAGAUAACUAGGGCUAAGUCGUAACAAGGUAACCGUAA